AGUCGGCAAGGCGCACAGGAAGCGGCGGCGCCCUAGACAGCUGCAGAGGAGAGAUGCCACAAGGGGAGGAGGAGCUCAGGCGGAGCAACUCCUCGCUUCUGUCUCCAUGUCCAAAGUAGUAUCCCUCGAGGCUGCAGUUCUCAAAAAUAUAGAUCACAAUCUAAUUUGUCCUCUCCUUGAUCCCCUUCUUCCAAAGAUUGAAUCUCUUCAGUUCCAAAAUUCAAAUCAAUGCACAAUCAUCAUCUUAAACAAACACAAGAUCCAAUCCCAGCCUCCCCGGAUGCUUUGCUCCUCAAUAUUUAAAUCCCCUCAGUUUCACCAAGCACCAUGAUUUUUCAUAAGAAUUGAGUGUUGGUCAGUUGGAAGAUGGAGACAGUUUGAAACAGGUUGAGCGGUCGUCACCAUCGGCGAGGCUACGAAGUGGACGAACAACACUCCCUCUACGCAGGCAGGUAACCCCAUAUUCUUAAAUUCCAUGCUCUAUUCAACAGUUCUACAUUAAAUUCAUCAUCAAAAUUACAUAAAUCGGCGUAUCUGUUGUGUGUCAUGUAGAGCAAGUGUUUUUCCAUGAAAGAGUCAAAUACUGGCAAGAAGCUCACACUUUGAUGUGUACAUGAGGCUGAGGCGCUGAGCGAUUUUGAUGUUUGAGAAAAGUUCCUACAAACAAACUUGAGCUCUCAAAGAACUGCAAGUGUCUGAUACAUCGCCAAACCUAAUUAAGUUGUGUUGUAGGGUUCCUGCGGGCGGACAGCAAGAGGUACACGCACGGUGGAAGCAGGCAGGUGGUGGGUGCGGCGACAACUGCGAGCUGCAUGUCUCCGGCAGCUGCGUUGCCUUCUACGCUAGACAAUUAUAUUAUACAUCCGCUAAGGGUAACUACAAGGUGUUCUUCAUGGAGCUCAAUUGAGCUGAAUUAGUCGAGUUGUUGGGUAAGCUAACUAAGCAUCCUUUUGGAACUAUGCUUUCAUCACGUAUUUGAAAGAUAGCAGAACAUACAUUUCAUCCACAUGCAAAGAACUGAAGUAAUUAAAGAUAGUGUGAAUUAGUACAAUUUACUGCAGAUUCGAGAACUAUUGUUAACAUUGCAAUGGAAUACUUCAGAUUUAGUAGAAUUUGUUGUAAGGUAAUGAUAUUACGUAUAUAAAUGAUUGAAAACAAUUUAAUUAGUUGUUUCCUUCUGUGUUAUUUUUAAAAUAUAAUUUCACAGAAUUAGCCUUUUGAUUCAUUUUGUUUUCUAUGAUAAAUUUGCGAUUACUAUGUCAAAUGUAAGAAACCUAUAUAUUAAGAUGCCUUUCUUCAUGUAAAUUGUGUAGACCUUAGAUUACUAGGCUGAUUGUAUUCUCUUAGCAUUGCUCAUCGUGCCUUGAAAGAAUGUGUUUCCAACAGUGCUAGAACUGUUUAAAAAUGUCAGGAAUGAUAUCGUCCGCAUCAUCAGUUGAUGAGAGAAAUAUGUGCAGAAGAUUUUUAUAGGAUCAUUCCAGGCUUAGACAUAAGUCGUAGAUAAUUGAUUUACAUCCAAUAACAACCUAGAAAGUGUUUGACACUCAAGAUAUAAAAUUGACUUUGGAAUCAAGAAGUUUUUAUUCCAUAUGUAUAUAUGACUAUCAUAUAUGCUAGACUAUCAUAUAAUUAUAUACGAUCAUUAAGUAUCCACUAUUCACAAUCACGUACGACUAGAAGGUUUUUACAAGAUUGUGAUGUAGCGGCUGGGCAUGCCGGGCCACAUAUCAUGAAAUCCCUCCUCUCUUCUCCAUCUUGAUGAAUUCAGCGGAGAGCCACCAAUAUUUUUGCUUUAUUCGUAAUUUCUCAUCAAGACAUUUUUUUUGGUUUUGUACAUUUUUCACGACACAACGCUUACCAGACUAUGAAUUAUAGGGAGUGAAGGAGAACCAACCAGCUGAGAUAAUCUGUGUGGCAUUUGCUGCCAACUAGCAGAGUUGUGUACAUAUAGAAAUCAACCACUGUCAGCCAAAUCUUUUUGAUGUUUAUAGAAGCUUUAUAGACGUUUUCCUAAGUAAAGGAUUUCGAGAUUGUACGUUUUUUUCCAAUAUGUGCUAACUUUCAGAUUAUCUGCAUGUAUAACAAACAUUUCUUUUGUCCAGGAAUAAGAAACAUAUCUUAUAAAGUGUAUAAUAUUUUAUUGGUAGAUUUGUAAGAUUUAAGUAUUGUUGGUUGUGCAAGAAAAUAGCUUCAUGUAUGGAUUGUUGAGUUACACAUGCUUCUGUUUAUGGUUUGUUUGUUGUAUUUGGAAACAGAUCUAGAUAGAUGAUCUUUAUAAUACAGAACAUUCAUAUUAAAAUUUUCCUGUGUUUUUAGCCAUGUAUUCCAUAUUAUCAUUGUUUUUUAAUAAUAUGUGUGAUCCUUCCUUUGCAGUUACAGUAUUCAGAUAGCAUAGUUUCCACUUACAAAAUGCUAAAAGAAUUUUCAGUUACACUUUCCGAGUGCCCUCACAGUGAUUUUCAUGUUUCUUGCAAGGGCUUCUACAUAAGGAUAAAUCUGUUCAAAAAAAUAGUAGAUUUAUGUAGUCCCAUUAUGCGCAGCAAUAUUCAUGCAUGCCUCUACAUCUACUUCAUUGAAUAGUAAUCUGCAAUCUUCAUUAGCAUAGAACAACAAAAUCUGUGAGAAAACUUACACAUCUUUAUCUCAAAUCGUUAAAUGGGUUUAGGUACUACCAAUUUCAAUAUGGUCGCUUAUGUUUCUUUUGUCAUUGAUAGUUUCUCACAAGUCCUAACUUCUACAGGUAAGGAAUUGAUUUACCUCUUGAUAGUUUUCUUUCUUUUGGAAUUUAUCUUUCUGUUGCAACCAAAUUACAUUAUUAUUUUCUGUAAAUCAAAGUUGAAAUCCAUGGUUUCUCUAUGCUGGUAAAAAAUAAAGUACCCGAUCUCUUUUCUUAACACAAUAUGCAUCUUAUCUUCUCUCAUGUAAGCAAUCUUGAUAAGACUCCUCUAUCUUUAAACCACACUCAAGUCCAUGGUUUUCCUCGGCGCGACAAACUAUAGUUGGAUCAGUGUUUCAAAAGACGUGGCGUGGGCUUGAAGGAUAUGCCGAAGGCAUCCGAUGGUUGGAGGGAUCGCCAAGGGGAGGUUCCCAGGGUUAUGAACUACCAAGUAAUUUGUAUUUUCUUUAUUACUGUAUUUUUUGUUUGUCCUAAAUACUAGAUUCAUAUUUCUUGCUUUCCACUGUUUGUAAUAUUAUCCAAACUCCUCACAUGUUUAUGUUGCUUGAAUAUUUCAGACU
rnacentral:lncRNA from 1 species